rnacentral:rRNA from 1 species
CUACGUGCCAGCAGCCGCGGUAAUACGUAGGUCCCGAGCGUUGUCCGGAUUUAUUGGGCGUAAAGCGAGCGCAGGCGGUUAGAUAAGUCUGAAGUUAAAGGCUGUGGCUUAACCAUAGUAUGCUUUGGAAACUGUUUAACUUGAGUGCARAAGGGGAGAGUGGAAUUCCAUGUGUAGCGGUGAAAUGCGUAGAUAUAUGGAGGAACACCGGUGGCGAAAGCGGCUCUCUGGUCUGUAACUGACGCUGAGGCUCGAAAGCGUGGGGAGCAAACAGGAUUAGAUACCCUGGUAGUCCACGCCGUAAACGAUGAGUGCUAGGUGUUAGGCCCUUUCCGGGGCUUAGUGCCGCAGCUAACGCAUUAAGCACUCCGCCUGGGGAGUACGACCGCAAGGUUAAAACUCAAAUGAAUUGACGGGGGCCCGCACAAGCGGUGGAGCAUGUGGUUUAAU